rnacentral:rRNA from 1 species
GAUCCUGGCUCAAGAUGAACGCUAGCUACAGGCUUAACACAUGCAAGUCGAGGGGCAGCAUGGUCUUAGCUUGCUAAGACUGAUGGCGACUGGCGCACGGGUGAGUAACACGUAUCCAACCUGCCGUCUACUCUUGGACAGCCUUCUGAAAGGAAGAUUAAUACAAGAUGGCAUCAUGAGUCCGCAUGUUCACAUGAUUAAAGGUAUUCCGGUAGACGAUGGGGA